GCAGAAUUCCAGGUCUUGGCAUCUGUGUUUCAAGCAGGAGGGAGAAGGAAAAGGGUUAGGGUUGGUGGGUAGGCUCAGUGCGUAGGUAGGAUGCUUGCCUCAGACACACAAGGCCCCCAACACAACCCAAGCUGGCAGUGGUGAGAUAUAAAUGCCACUUGGUGUCAUGGUUAGUUUUUGUCAACUUGACACAAACCUAGACACACCAGGGAAGAAGAACUCUCAACUGAGGAAGAACCUUCAUUGGAUUGGCCAUUGGUAUCCCUACUCUAUUCUGCCAGGUAGUGGAAAUGUAAUCUCAGUCAUCAAAACAAUACAAAGCCAACCGACCGACCGACCACCAACCAACCAAUCAACCAACCAACCAAUCAACCAAUUGAAAAACAGCAGUGCUAUGUAAAGUGCAUGUAGGUGCCUUUGAAGGCCAGAAGAAGACGUCGGAUUCUGAGGAGCUGGAGUUACAGAUGGAUGUUAGCUGCCUCACAGAGAUGCUGGGAACCGAACUCAGGUGCUUUGUAACUUGGCUGCUAUGAUGUGAUCACCAUGUACCUUUCGCAAGCCCCAAACCAACAGGGGAUUAAUGGGUCAUAAGCUGAACUCCUCAAAACUAAUUGGAAGUCGAAGGGGAAUACAGUCCACAUCUCCGACCUCUUGAACAGUGCAUUUAUUCAUCAGUCCCAUGAGAGAACCUGAAAGUCCAAGAAUAAAGAUGAAGACAAAUGCACCAAAAAGGAAAAUAAAAGAAAUACUAAAAGCUCAGUCAGCAUCAUUUUCCCUGGGGACCAUAAGCUGCCAAGAAGCCCCGAGAGGAAGAGAGACUUCCGAUAUGAGCAGAUUACAGUCGACACUGGAAAGCCAUCUGACAAAGGGG
ensembl:lncRNA LOC108352947 uncharacterized LOC108352947